rnacentral:rRNA from 1 species
AACGAACGCUGGCGGCAUGCCUAACACAUGCAAGUCGAACGAGACCUUCGGGUCUAGUGGCGCACGGGUGCGUAACGCGUGGGAACCUGCCCUUAGGUUCGGAAUAACUCCCCGAAAGGGGUGCUAAUACCGGAUAAUGUCUUCGGACCAAAGAUUUAUCGCCUUUGGAUGGGCCCGCGUUGGAUUAGCUAGUUGGUAGGGUAAAAGCCUACCAAGGCGACGAUCCAUAGCUGGUCUGAGAGGAGGAUCAGCCACACUGGGACUGAGACACGGCCCAGACUCCUACGGGAGGCAGCAGUGGGGAAUAUUGGACAAUGGGCGAAAGCCUGAUCCAGCAAUGCCGCGUGAGUGAUGAAGGCCUUAGGGUUGUAAAGCUCUUUUACCCGGGAUGAUAAUGACAGUACCGGGAGAAUAAGCACCGGCUAACUCCGUG